CCUCGUCUCUCCCAAAUCGCCGCCACCAACCACCGCGUCACCCUCCUCCUCCCACCUCGCCGCCGGCCCUCCCCUCCCCUCCUCCCACAUCAUAGCUCGGGCGGCUACCGGAUCCGCCAUAUCCCCCACCCACCCAUCCCUCUCACAUCCCAUCUCCUCUCUUGACGUAGCUCCUCGUUGCGCCACCUCCGGCGACUGACUCAGGCGACGUCCGGCGAAUCCCGCCAUCGCGAAGCACAACCCGAGGUCCCCUUACACAGCGGCGCGCUCCCAUGCGGCUUGAUCCGGCGCUCGCGGCCACCAAAGCUCACCCAUGACCUUCCCCUGAUGGCUAGGGUUUCGGGCGCCGGCUUCGGUGCCGGUGGCCAUGUCGUCCUCCUCUCGCCGAUGAGUGAAUCCCCUCCCCUGGCUUCGUCCUAUCUCUCUUCCCCUUUCUCUAACCUCUAUUCUUAUCUUCUCCUCUAGACGUCUAGGUAUGCACCCCGGAUUCUAUUGCAGCUACUCACUGUCAAAGAAGGUUGGCCCUUGUACAAUUCAUUGACGAAAACUGAUAGUUCUGCAGACUGACUUCCGAUCUCCGUUGAUUUACAUUCAUGCACUGAUUGCUAAUUCUAUUAAAUUAGUAUAGUAAUUAUUAGAUAUCAAUGGAGCAUCAAUUUUUUUUAAAUCUUAUACGCUGCUAACUCAUCAAUCCUUCACAGAUGAGUCAUUAAUCCUUUUAAAUUGUUUUGAUGUAGAGAAACACUAGUUCAUAUAUGUGACCACAUAUUAAAUAGUCUACUGCAAGAGUUAUAAUAUUUAAGGCCGGAUCUAGUCUUUAUAGGUUUUUUGUUAUAAUAUUGUCAUACAGUAUUAUAACUCUAGGUUAUAAUAUUUAAAACUGAAUAAUCCGCGACGCUGCCACUGGCUGUGGAUACAGUAGUUUAUAUAACUUGAGACAAACAGCGCCCAGUGGCUGCUCUGGCACAGUGGUAAACUAAUGGAGACUUGCGAAUAAGACCACUUAACAAAGAAGAAGGCAAUGGAAUCACUAAACAAGAGCGGCGAUUUCCCUUGGACAGUUGGUCUCUGAAUUUCAUGCAGGCCACCAAGACAUCUGGUUGACCUGAUAGCAGCCACCAUUAUCAGCAUGCUCCCUGAUGCCAAUGGAAGCAGAUGUGCCUCGUCCGAUUCUUACGCCAAUAAACAAUGAGAAAAUAAGGUUCAUUUGCUUCUUGUACAACGAAUUAGAAAUGAAAAAAUGCACGUUCUAUGACAUGGAAGCGAGUACGGAUUGGAUCAUUCGGCUCCAAGCUAAGCCAACUGCUACCCUGUUGGUGUUGCUUUUCUACCAGCUACCGGCACAACACUAACUAAAAGCAGGCCGCAGAGCACCAACCAGCUAUCUUGGCUGUCGUGGGCACCACUGCUGCUCUCGUAGGCCUCGGCUAGCCCACAGUCACAAAGGUCCUGCUCUUUCAUACGUACGGAGUACCUGCCACUGCCACUGCCACUGCCACAUCUGAAUUUUUCUGCAUAUGUUUUGGGAGUACUCGUCACUAUAUAAUUGGAGUUUGCUGUGACAGUGCAGAGCUGGUGCUGCAGCAGCCAGCGGCGCGAAUCAACCUAGAGUUAUAAUAUUGUAUGGCAGUUUUGAUGAGUAACUAAUCAAAGUUUUUUAUUGCAAUUUCAGACUAUUUAGGAGUCUGAUGGUUAGGUUAUUUAGGUGGAGGUAGUAGCUUGCUAAUGGUGGCUUUCAUGUCCAGCUCAAAAACUAGAGGAUGUGGACCUGUUGGGGGAAGCACGUACACAUUUGUUUUAGUGGGCAGGUUUCCAAAGGAAGAAAUACUCAAUGCCAUUCGGUGGUUUUCAAUGUGCCAUUCUCUACAUUCAUAGCACUAUCGAGAUUGAGGCGAACAUCAUAGACAGCUGGAGCUGCGAGUAGAUUUGUCCAAGAUAUGAUAGUGUUCAUAGUCAUGGUUCUGAUUUAAAAGAUAUAUGGACUCUUAUAUGGGUGCCCCGUAGGUAUACUGCAAUGAUGAUGAUGAUGUUCUGGUUCACGAUGAUGACAAUGAUGGCUGUUCUUAGUUUUAGUUAUGAUGGCUGUUUUCAGUUUUAGUUAAGUUAUAGGGAUGAUGUUCCUGUUGGAUGAUGUUCCUUGGUUAAGUUUUAGUGAAUUUGUAGGGAUGUUGAUGGAUGCUUUCACAUUUGGAAGUUGUUCCUCCUGUAAUAUUAACAAUUGUAAUCCCACAGUUUUUUUCAAUAUAUGAUUUCUUCC